UCAACCUUGAGCUGGUCAGAAUCGAACUGCUGGCAGCCAGCAACUCAGCAGAAGUAGCCUGCAGUACUGAAUUCUCGCCACUGUGCCCCCAGGAUGUGGUAUAUGCGUUCCUUCUACUGAGGUGUUCUCGCUAAUGGGAUGGAGCCCUUCCUUCAAUUAUCCCCAAUGGUCUCACAGGGCAUUGGGGGCCACCUUUCGUGUUCUCUGCAACGCAAUUUAGCCCUUUGUCUCGCUGCUGCUAUGCAACAUAAACAGGACCCCAUUUGCCUGUUGCUGGAUCCUCAACGUUCAAGACAGCUGCUGGAGCUCAGAUAUUGGCAUUCCUGUCUGGAGGAAGGUAACAGUUGCAAGCUCCUGAUUGCCUACCAUAGGUUUGCUUUCAUUUUAACUGAAUUGUUUAUUUGCUUUGCUUAUUUUGCAUUUAUUGUAAACUGUCCCAGUGUUUGAGUUUAAAUAAGACAUUGAUAUGACUUAUUUAAGCCGUAUCAAUGUCUUAAAUAAAUAAAUUUCAUUAUUUAGGGAAUGCAUAUUUAGGGAUGGAGCAGUGGAUAGAUAGAUCCCUGCAGGAUAUACUUGCUGUAUAAAAUUUCUGUGUUGUAAACUUGCAGUUUUGCUAUAGACUGCAAUCUAUUAUUUAAAAACUAGUACAAAUUAAUGCAUGGUGCUCAAAUAUUCACUACUUCAUUAGCAUUGAAGAUCCAUAUAAAAUAGUGGUUAAGGUACCAAGCUAUAAAUCAUGAGUUCUAAUCCAACUUUGGGCAUGAAACCAGCUGUGUUAUCUUGGGCAAGUCAUCCUCUCUCGGCCCUAGGAAGUAAGGAGUGCAAACAUCUAAAAAUGCCAAGAAAGCUGCAGGGACUAAUCCAGGCUAUUGUCAGGAGUCAAAAUGUGAUUUGAAGACUCAUAAAGGUGACAUUGCUUUUCAUUUGUAAAGCAUCAUUUUUCUCUAGUUAUUGCUGGCAUAGGGUUGCAGAUAGGGAAUAAAAACUUCCUCUCAUUUUUAAGAAGUACUGCAUAUGCAGAUUUUAAUAGGUGAAGCUAUAUUCCGCUACAUUACCACUUAAUCAUUUAUUUAUCUUUCAACCUACUGUAGAUCAAAACGAGACCAAACACAGUUGCAAGUUUAAAAACUCUGCUCCUAAUCUGUCAUAUUUGUUGUGGAAUUAGUAGCAACGCAUUUUUAAAAUACAACAAAGAAAAGAGGAUGACUGAACAAGGGGGACAGUUAAUCUCUGAUCUGAUUAUAGCUUCAAUUUUAUUAUAACAGUGAUGGCUGGCAGAAUUCAUGCAUCAGAAAAAAUCUUGUUUUACUUAGCUUUACGUCUCUGUUGAAUUCAUUUUUAUGCACUCAGACACAAAUUGAAACCCCUUCUAACUCCAUGUAAGAGCAAAUGGCAGGUUUUUCUCUCACAUUAAAAAUUAACAGUAAAAAUGUAGUUAUCCUAUAACAAACAUACAGUAGUUUAGCAGUCUACUGGAAGAAGCAAUGCACAAUAAAAAUUCAACUCUUCCCUAUAGUAUUAGUGCCCUUAUCUUCAAAGCAUGUUGUGGAUUUUCUUUACAGCUACCUUAAAAUUUAAGAGAACAUUAUGGCUAGUUUUUAUAUAGUUUAUUUCAGAAACAUCAAAUUGUGUUGAAAGUAAAGGUUCAAAUCAUUUGCUGCAAAGAAUCCUGCAAAUUCUUUGAAAAUUUGAUUAGGAAAUAUUAUCAAGAGACCUAAGUACACUUCCAAGUUUGCCUCUGGGGCAAAGCAGCCCCUUUGCUAAGAAGUAACUCUUCGUGUGCUUCUCAACUGCUUAAUGAAAGAAAACAGCUAAUCAAUACUAGAUAGGCAGCAUGAAGGAAGUGCCUGCUUGUCACAUGCAGUGCAUUAAUGUGCUCUCAUGGCUUUCAUAGUUAGCUAGCUAUCUCACACAUCUGCUUCAUCUUUUUAAAAUGGAUGCAUCAUCUGACUUUUUAAAUUUUGGCCAUAAUAAAUUAUCCCUCUUGAACUGGAGCCAGAGUAUGUGAAUUUUUAGGGUUACGGGAAACAAUUACAGCAACCUUAUUUCUCUGAAUAAUGUCUUUAAUAUCCCUCCUGCUUUUACAAGGUUCUGUCUGAUAUAACUGAGGACGUUUUAAGAACACAAACUGAAUUAAGAUGCACAGAGAGUCAAAAUGCCCUGAAGACAAGCAAAAUAUUUGCACCAGAUGUCAGCCCUGUGUGAGAGGGAUUCACUGAGCAGUUUUCUGUCAGAUUCUCCUACUGUUCCAAGACGCUGAAUCGUUAUACAAGUCUUCUUCAUAAUCUACCAAUUUUGACCUACAACUGACUUGAAGACUUUAUCUGUAGUUGCCAGGCAACUUUAUAAAAUGCCCUUUAUUGCUAUUCACAUUUGAACUCAGGCUAGCCAAAUAGCCACUUGGAAUUUUUCAGGUCCAACUUCUGGCAAGACCCAGUCCUAAACAUUGGAUAAACAGUAGGAACCCAAGGAGAACCAAAGGAAGAAAGGAUAAAGCUAUCUCUUCAUCUUUGUACCUGCAUAUUUGUGCAGAGAUAACAAUUUUGUCACCAAGACUGAGGAAACGGACUAGAUCUUCAAGGUAUAAUAAAAAACAAAAGAAAU